CCUAACCCACAAGAAACCUGGUCUGUACAUAACUGUAGAAGUUCGAAAUGAAUCAUGUUCUGUAGAUAAUGUCUCCGACUGCUGAUAUUGGUGCACUCAAUCUAUCAGCCAAAAACAAUAAAGCACUGGACUAAUUUCAGUUUUCAAAGAUCUCCAUUGUUUGCACCUAGGUUUACUUAUUAUAAUCAAUCAUAAAAGUAUCUUAAAAUACAGUUGAAAUAAUUGUAACAUGCUAAAAUGUAUUAAAAUGACCUGUCAUUAUACAAUAAGGCCCUGUGUCAAAUGACUUUUGCCUAAUUUAUAUAGAAUACAUAACAACAAAAGAACAAUCAGGUAUAACAGUCUUUUUUUAUUCUCCAUUCCAAGCCAUCAAUGAACAUUCCUUACUGUUUGCACCAUUAUAAAAGGCCAAAACUUUUCAUCCAUUAUUUUUUCAUAUAGUUAAGGAAAGGAUAUGUGAAAGUCUAAAUUAGAUCACUAUUGAAUGCUAUUCCGAUAAACCAUUUUUAAAAUUCAUCAGGCUCACACACAAAGACAAGACUACUCAUUCCAUUCAAAAUUUCCAAUGUCAAUGUCACGUUUUUUUUCUCUGUUGUCCAGUUUUUUUUCUCCUGGUUUUCCUAUACUCAUCCCUCAAAUUUUGCUGGCUUUCAUCUCACCACAAAUGCUGCAAACACAGGCUGCCCCUCUGCAAUGAUGUGUGGGGCACAAAGACUCAACACUGCAUCCAUGUCUCACAUCUCUUCCUACAUGUACCUCACUCCCCCUCUCUACACUUGAGUGGUUGUAUUUCCUUUUAGUUAUCUGUAUACUCCUUUGCCACAACGGACAUUUUUAUAUUUAUCUUCAGAAGCUUGUGUUGGAGGUUUUUUCGGAUCAUUAGGGACUUCACAUUUAUAUUAGCUUCAGACCAAGUCAACAGCCUGACUUAUUGCCUCACCGAUUGCCUCAGGAAUCUGGAUGUCGCCAGUCAGGUUCAAGUCCUUUUUUAAUUCACAGUCAAUUUGCACUUCAACGGCAUCCUCUGGCUUGUCAAUGCCGUUGACACAUUCCUUUUGCUGUGGCUCCGGGGCAGACACGGCAGCUAGCUUGGCUGCCUGCUCCUGACACUCCCCAUUGACCUCAGGGGCAGAAGGCUCAGCAGUAGCCUCCGCUGCGGAAACAUCUUCCCUGUUGUCCAGCACAGCAUCCUGUGGCCCAGCGCUGGCCUCCUCUGCAGCAGCAGGUGCAGCAGAUUCUGAAAUGAUGAUCUCCGGGAUGGGUUCUGCAAUGUCGGCAGCCUCUGACUCUGCUGCCUCUACUGCAUCAGCAGCUUCAGGUUCAAGCUCCGCUACGGAUUCUUCUACAGGUAGGGGGAGCUCUUUAGCGGCUGGUUCUAGGACGGAUUCUGUUUCUGCGGCUGCCUCUGGAUCUGCGGCUGCCUCUGACUCUGACACAGCUUCUGCAAUUGAUGUAGGCUCCUCCUCCAGUGUGGGUGAAGCUGCUUCUGCCUCUAUUGGUGCCUCGGGCACAGCCUCAGGUUCUGGGGCCUCCCCUGUAACAGUCUCUGUUUCAGGCUCUGGAGCAGCAUUUUCAGGUUCUGUAGUGUCUGCCACCUCUGUGACUUGUUCUGUAGCCUCAGAAUCCUUUUCUGGUGCUGCGGUUAGUUCCACAGAGGCUGCCGCAGGCUCUUCUGCUGCAUGCUCUUUUGGUGCUGACGCAGGCUCUUCUGGAGCAGGCUCUUCCACUGCAGGCUCUUUUGGUGCUGCCACAGGCUCUUUUGGUGCAGGUUCUUUUGGUGCUGCCGCAGGCUCUUCUGGUACAGGCUCUUCCACUGCAGGCUCUUUUGGUGUAGCCACUGUUUCGUCUAGUGCCGCUGGUUCUUCCGGUGCCUCUGUUUUAUCUGGUGCUGUUACAGGUUCCUCUGGUGAUGCUGCUGAUUCCUCAGCUGCUGCAGGUUCUUCUGGUGCUGCAGCUGGUGCUGGCUCCUCUGGUGCUGCAGCUGGUUCUUCUGAAGCUACUGGUUUUUCUGCUGUUGGCGCUGAUUCUGCCAUUGCUGCCACAGGUUCAUCUGGUACAGUUGCUGGCUCUGCGGUGGCCCCCUUGGCCACAGCAUCUAUAGCUGACAGGGCCUCUUCUGUCACAUCUUUGAUGGUUACCGCUGCCGACUCCACUGCUCCCUCUACCGCAGCAGACACCUUAGGAGCAUCCUUCGCUGCCAACUCAGCGACCGGAGCUGGUGCUUUGCUCUCCACGGCAUGGGCCAUGGCCUCAACGGCACUCACAGCAGCCACAGUAAUCUCCUCCUUCUUGUCCUUUGGGUCGCUGACAUCGUACCCCUUCUUCCUCUUGCUCAGCUUGCCUCCCAUGGUGUCUCCUAAAAGUGAAUAAUAAAAUCAGAAUGACUUAACAAGUGUGACAGGUUGUUGCGUUUGAUCAUCUAUGCAUAGUAUAUAUCCAUUUCCUUUAAUUACCCACCACAAACCUCAAUACCAAGUUAAAGCGGAAUAAAAUUCAAAGCAUUGCAAUCAUGCCAACAUAGUGCCGCCUGUCUCCGUUGUAAGAAAGCACUCAGUCGGGCUUUAAAGGGGGAAGGCAUUUCAAUCUGGAGACCACACUCUGCCAAAUACUAUUGGCUAAAAAACAAAUGACCACUGCAUGGGAACUACUCCAAGUUCUAAACUAUCCAGUGCUCUUGUAUAAACCACAGGACAAGACACCCUCUCUGGAGUCUUAGGUAAUGUUAUUAUGUGCCAAGUGAGCCUCCC
rnacentral:lncRNA from 1 species